rnacentral:lncRNA from 1 species
GCUGGUCUGGCCCGGUUCUGUGACUAGCAGGGCAGAGAGACCCAUAGAUCCAUGUCCCUGGAAAAGGGAAACAGGGGACCCUGAAUAAUUAAAAACAGUGGCAAUGAUCUGAGGAGAAAACAACUAAUUUACCAAAUACAGUAUUGGAAUGCAAGAUAACACACUAUAAUACAAUAUAAUUAGAAUUGAAGCUAGUAAAUCAAAUAUAAUGAGAGAAAGAGUGUCUGAGAAUGGAAGGUCUCACCGUACGCUGAGGUGAGACAUGCAGUCAGGGAGACUAUCAGGGAGGAGAACCGAAGGAAGAAAGGGACAUCAGGAGCCCUUGCCAGGGGCUUUAUCUCCUCUCUGAACACAAAGUCCUUUGGGGUAUGUAAUUCUACUUUUCUUCUGGACAGGUGCCUGGAACUGGACCAUUAACUCUUUAACUCCCAGUGCACUACAUAAUGUUAUGAUGUGGGAUACCAAUAAACAAAAAUCAUAAUGCCAUGACAGUCUGGAUGCAUGCCAGCAGGUCCACGUCUCUUCUGUACUGAGGACUCCACAUCUGGUUGCAGUACUUCGGGUGAGGCCUUGAAGACACAGGGUAGGAGAAUGGUCCCAGGUUUGUGGAAAAGAUUUGUGUUGUGCAUGAGAGCUGUGGAAGAAAGACAUCAUUAUGGAGGAAUCCUAAUUGUAAACUGAACCACCUCCACCCCCAAAUUAGCAGUAUAAGGUAAGAGAGGUUGGAUUUCAAAACAGUGGCAUUCAUCCCUCUGUUCCUGUUUAAAUGUCCUUGAUUCAUCAUGCUAGAAAACAAGCACAUUAAAAGGCAGUACAAGCCAGAUAGCUUCCACGAGCA